ACUUUGGGAGACCAAGGCAGGUGGAUCACUUGAGGUCAGGAGUUUGAGACCAGCCUAGUCAACAUGGUAAAACCCUGCUUCUAGUAAAAAUACAAAAAUUAGCCAGGCAUGGUGGCACAUGCCUAUAAUCCCAGCUACUCAGGAGGCUGAGGCAGGACAGUUGCUUGAACCUGGAACGCAGAGGUUGCAGUGAGCCGAGAUCAUGCCACUGUACUCCAGCCAGGGCACCAGAGCAAGACUCCGUCUCAAAAAAAAAAAAAAAAAUUUUUUUU
rnacentral:lncRNA from 1 species